rnacentral:rRNA from 1 species
CCAUGCCUACGGGACGCAGCAGUGAGGAAUAUUGGUCAAUGGACGAGAGUCUGAACCAGCCACGUAGCGUGAAGGAUGACUGCCCUAUGGGUUGUAAACUUCUUUUAUAAAGGAAUAAAGUGAGGCACGUGUGCCUUUUUGUAUGUACUUUAUGAAUAAGGAUCGGCUAACUCCGUGCCAGCAGCCGCGGUAAUACGGAGGAUCCGAGCGUUAUCCGGAUUUAUUGGGUUAAAAGGGAGCGUAGAUGGGUUGUUAAGUCAGUUGUGAAAGUUUGCGGCUCAACCGUAAAAUUGCAAUUGAUACUG